GCGAGGCCGAAAGGCGUAGUCGAUGGGAAACGGGUUAAUAUUCCCGUACUUGGUAUAAUUGCGAUGGGGGGACGGAGCAGGCUAAACAAGCAUGGCGUUGGUUGUCCAUGUGAAAGUGAGUAGGUUGAGAGUUUAGGAAAAUCCGGACUCUUAAGACUGAGACACGAGACGAGCACCCAAGGGUGUGAAGUUGUUGAUGCCAUACUUCCAGGAAAAGCCUCUAAGCUUCAGAUUAUACCGAAUCGUACCCCAAACCGACACAGGUGGUCAGGUAGAGA
rnacentral:rRNA from 1 species